UACGUAGGGUGCGAGCGUUCAUCGGAAUUACUGGGCGUAAAGCGUGCGCAGGCGGUUGUGCAAGUCCGAUGUGAAAUCCCCGGGCUUAACCUGGGAACUGCAUUUGUGACUGCACGGCUAGAGUGUGUCAGAGGGGGGUAGAAUUCCACGUGUAGCAGUGAGAUGCGUAGAUAUGUGGAGGAAUACCGAUGGCGAAGGCAGCCCCCUGGGAUAACACUGACGCUCAUGCACGAAAGCGUGGGGAGCAAACAGG
rnacentral:rRNA from 1 species